UACGUAGGGCGCAAGCGUUGUCCGGAAUUAUUGGGCGUAAAGAGCUCGUAGGCGGCUUGUCACGUCGAUUGUGAAAGCCCGAGGCUUAACCUCGGGUCUGCAGUCGAUACGGGCUAGCUAGAGUGUGGUAGGGGAGAUCGGAAUUCCUGGUGUAGCGGUGAAAUGCGCAGAUAUCAAGAGGAACACCUGCGGCGAAGGCGGGUUGCUGGGCCGACACUGACGCUGAAGCGCGAAAGCUAGGGGAGCGAACGGG
rnacentral:rRNA from 1 species